rnacentral:rRNA from 1 species
CAUUCACGGAGAGUUUGAUCCUGGCUCAGGACGAACGCUGGCGGCGUGCUUAACACAUGCAAGUCGAACGAUGAAGCCCUUCGGGGUGGAUUAGUGGCGAACGGGUGAGUAACACGUGGGCAAUCUGCCCUUCACUCUGGGACAAGCCCUGGAAACGGGGUCUAAUACCGGAUAACACUUUCCUCCUCCUGGAGGAAGGUUGAAAGCUCCGGCGGUGAAGGAUGAGCCCGCGGCCUAUCAGCUAGUUGGUGGGGUAAUGGCCUACCAAGGCGACGACGGGUAGCCGGCCUGAGAGGGCGACCGGCCACACUGGGACUGAGACACGGCCCAGACUCCUACGGGAGGCAGCAGUGGGGAAUAUUGCACAAUGGGCGAAAGCCUGAUGCAGCGACGCCGCGUGAGGGAUGACGGCCUUCGGGUUGUAAACCUCUUUCAGCAGGGAAGAAGCGAAAGUGACGGUACCUGCAGAAGAAGCGCCGGCUAACUACGUGCCAGCAGCCGCGGUAAUACGUAGGGCGCAAGCG